rnacentral:rRNA from 1 species
UACGUGCCAGCAGCCGCGGUAAUACGUAGGGCGCAAGCGUUAUCCGGAAUUAUUGGGCGUAAAGAGCUCGUAGGCGGUUUGUCGCGUCUGCUGUGAAAUCCGGAGGCUCAACCUCCGGCCUGCAGUGGGUACGGGCAGACUAGAGUGCGGUAGGGGAGAUUGGAAUUCCUGGUGUAGCGGUGGAAUGCGCAGAUAUCAGGAGGAACACCGAUGGCGAAGGCAGAUCUCUGGGCCGUAACUGACGCUGAGGAGCGAAAGGGUGGGGAGCAAACAGGCUUAGAUACCCUGGUAGUCCACCCCGUAAACGUUGGGAACUAGUUGUGGGGUCCAUUCCACGGAUUCCGUGACGCAGCUAACGCAUUAAGUUCCCCGCCUGGGGAGUACGGCCGCAAGGCUAAAACUCAAAGGAAUUGACGGGGACCCGCACAAGCGGCGGAGCAUGCGGAUUAAUUCGAUGCAACGCGAAGAACCUUACCAAGGCUUGACAUAUACGAGAACGGGCCAGAAAUGGUCAACUCUUUGGACACUCGUAAACAGGUGGUGCAUGGUUGUCGUCAGCUCGUGUCGUGAGAUGUUGGGUUAAGUCCCGCAACGAGCGCAACCCUCGUUCUAUGUUGCCAGCACGUAAUGGUGGGAACUCAUGGGAUACUGCCGGGGUCAACUCGGAGGAAGGUGGGGAUGACGUCAAAUCAUCAUGCCCCUUAUGUCUUGGGCUUCACGCAUGCUACAAUGGCCGGUACAAAGGGCUGCAAUACCGCGAGGUGGAGCGAAUCCCAAAAAGCCGGUCCCAGUUCGGAUUGAGGUCUGCAACUCGACCUCAUGAAGUCGGAGUCGCUAGUAAUCGCAGAUCAGCAACGCUGCGGUGAAUACGUUCCCGGGUCUUGUACACACCGCCCGUCAAGUCAUGAAAGUCGGUAACACCUGAAACUAAUGGCCUAACCCUUGUGGAGGGAGCCGUCGAAGGUGGGAUCGGUAAUUAGGA